rnacentral:rRNA from 1 species
GACAUCGCCCAAAUGGUGGUGCGGGUAUGCUUCGCACCAAGCGCUCCAGGAUGGGACCGCGGCCGAUCAGGCUGUUGGCGGGGUAAUGGCCCACCAAUCCUGUAACCGGUACGGGCUUUGAGAGAAGGAGCCCGGAGAUGGACACUGAGACAAGGGUCCAGGCCCUACGGGGCGCAUCAGGCGCGAAAACUUCACAAUGCGCGAAAGCGUGAUGAGGCUAAUCCGAGUGCCGUCCGCUGAGGAUGGCUUUUCUCGGCUGUAAAUAGGCCGGGGAAUAAGGGGAGGGCAAGUCUGGUGUCAGCCGCCACGGUAAUACCAGCUCCUCGAGUGGUCGGGACGAUUAUUGGGCCUAAAGCACCCGUAGCCGGUUCCGUAAGUCCUCUGUUAAAUCCAACCGCCCAACGGUUGGGCCGCAGAGGAUACUGCGAGACUAGGAGGCGGGAGAGGCGGACGGUACUCUGCGGGUAGGGGUAAAAUCCUUUGAUCCGCGGAAGACCACCAGUGGCGAAGGCGGUCCGCCAGAACGCGCUCGACGGUGAGGGGUGAAAGCUGGGGGAGCGAACCGGAUUAGAUACCCGGGUAGUCCCAGCCGUAAACGAUGCGAGCUAGAUGAUUCAAUCGCAGUUCGCGAUUGAAGUGUCGCAGGGAAGCCGUUAAGCUCGCCGCCUGGGGAGUGCGGUCGCAAGGCUGAAACUUAAAGGAAUUGGCGG